rnacentral:rRNA from 1 species
GACGAACGCUGGCGGCAUGCCUAACACAUGCAAGUCGAACGAGACCUUCGGGUCUAGUGGCGCAGGGGUGCGUAACGCGGGGGAACCUGCCCGUAGGUUCGGAAUAACUCCCCGAAGGGGGUGCUAAUACAGGAUAAUGUCUUCGGACCAAAGAUUUAUCGCCGUUGGAUGGGCCCGCGUUGGAUUAGCUAGUUGGUAGGGUAAAAGCCUACCAAGGCGACGAUCCAUAGCUGGUCUGAGAGGAUGCUCAGCCACACUGGGACUGAGACACGGCCUAGACUCCUACGGGAGGCAGCAGUGGGGAAUAUUGGACAAUGGGCGAAAGCCUGAUCCAGCAAUGCCGCGUGAGUGAUGAAGGCCUUAGGGUUGUAAAGCUCUUUUACCCGGGAUGAUAAUGACAGUACCGGGAGAAUAAGCUCCGGCUAACUCCGUG